AAUUGCUUUUAAAACUGCUAAUCUAGAGAUUGAAAGAGGAUAGAGGAAUUCCUAGUGUAGAGGUGAAAUUCGUAAAUAUUAGGAGGAACACCAGUGGCGAAGGCGUCUAUCUGGUUCAAAUCUGACGCUGAGGCGCGAAGGCGUGGGGAGCAAAUAGGAUUAGAUACCCUGGUAGUCCACGCUGUAAACGAUGAAUGUUAAAUAUGGGAAGUUUUACUUUCUGUAUUACAGCUAACGCGUUAAACAUUCCGCCUGGGGACUACGGUCGCAAGAUUAAAACUCAAAGGAAUUGACGGGGACCCGCACAAGCGGUGGAGCAUGUGGUUUAAUUCGAUGCAACGCGAAAAACCUUACCACUCCUUGACAUGGAAAUUAUACCUAUUCGAAGGGAUAGGGUCGGUUCGGCCGGGUUUCACACAGGUGUUGCAUGGCUGUCGUCAGCUCGUGUCGUGAGAUGUUGGGUUAAGUCCCGCAACGAGCGCAACCCUCAUCCUUAGUUACCAUCAGGUAAUGCUGGGGACUUUAAGGAAACUGCCAGUGAUAAACUGGAGGAAGGUGGGGAUGAUGUCAAGUCAUCAUGGCCCUUAUGGAGUGGGCUACACACGUGCUACGAUGGUGGCUACAAUGGGCUGCAAAGUCGCGAGGCUAAGCUAAUCCCUUAAAAGCCAUCUCAGUUCGGAUUGUACUCUGCAACUCGAGUGCAUGAAGUUGGAAUCGCUAGUAAUCGUGGAUCAGCACGCCACGGUGAAUACGUUCUCGGGUCUUGUACACACUGCCCGCCACGCCAUGGGAAUUGGUUUCACUCGAAGCUAACGACCUAACCGCAAGGAGGGAGUUAUUUAAAGUGGGAUCGGUGACUGGGGUGAAGUCGUAACAAGGUAGCAGUAGGGGAAUCUGCGGCUGGAUCA
rnacentral:rRNA from 1 species